GUGGCUGUAGUAUAGUGGUCAGUAUACCUCAUUGUAAGUUACCAUUUGAUCCACGCUUUGCUAUAUCCACUAACCUCCGAAGGUGGUUACACAUACUCAGAGAACUGAGGAGACGCCUGUUCGAUUCUGGCCAGCCACA
rnacentral:tRNA from 1 species